rnacentral:rRNA from 1 species
CAUGCAAGUCGAACGGAAGUCGUAUAAAUGAGUCUGAUUGAAAGAUUAUCCGGAUUGAUGAUGAUUUAUAACAAUAGGCUUUAGUGCGGACUGGUGAGUAACGCGUGAGCAACCUGCCUAUCAGAGGGGAAUAACAGUGAGAAAUCAUUAGCUAAUACCGCAUAUGCCAUAGUUAUCGCAUGAUAAUAGUGGGAAAGGAGCAAUCCGCUGAUAGAUGGGCUCGCGUCUGAUUAGGAUAGUUGGUGGGGUAAUGGCCUACCAAGUCAACGAUCAGUAGCCGGACUGAGAGGUUGAACGGCCACAUUGGGACUGAGACACGGCCCAGACUCCUACGGGAGGCAGCAGUGGGGAAUAUUGGGCAAUGGGCGAAAGCCCUGACCCAGCAACGCCGCGUGAAGGAUGACGGUCUUCGGAUUGUAAACUUCUUUAAUUGGGGAAGAACAAAAUGACCUACCCAAAGAAUAAGUCACGGCUAACUACGUGCCAGCCGCAGC